CCUACGGGGGGCAGCAGUGGGGAAUAUUGGACAAUGGGGGCAACCCUGAUCCAGCCAUGCCGCGUGUGUGAAGAAGGCCCUCGGGUUGUAAAGCACUUUCAGUGAGGAAGAACGCCUGGUGGUUAAUACCCAUCAGGAAAGACAUCACUCACAGAAGAAGCACCGGCUAACUCCGUGCCAGCAGCCGCGGUAAUACGGAGGGUGCGAGCGUUAAUCGGAAUUACUGGGCGUAAAGCGCGCGUAGGUGGCUUGAUAAGCCGGUUGUGAAAGCCCCGGGCUCAACCUGGGAACGGCAUCCGGAACUGUCAAGCUAGAGUGCAGGAGAGGAAGGUAGAAUUCCCGGUGUAGCGGUGAAAUGCGUAGAGAUCGGGAGGAAUACCAGUGGCGAAGGCGGCCUUCUGGACUGUCACUGACACUGAGGUGCGAAAGCGUGGGUAGCAAACAGGAUUAGAUACCCCAGUAGUC
rnacentral:rRNA from 1 species